UUUUCAAAGGAUAGCAGCAAUCCAAUGGNUUUAGGAACCAUCACUUCU
rnacentral:tRNA from 1 species